rnacentral:lncRNA from 1 species
CGGACCCAAAGUAACAUAAACCAUUAUCUCAAACAUAAAAGGAAAGUUUAAACUAAAAACGUCAAGCACAAACAUUAAGAAAUCCUCUGAAAAACCAAAAAAAAAAAAGAGAGAAGGGAAGCAUGUAUUGUAUAACAGGUGGAAUCUAUCCAUAAACAUCAUCAACUCUUUGGGGAUGCCUUAGGCGGUCCAGCAGGUGGAGCAGUCUGCGAAGCCGGCGUACCACCACCACCACCAGGAGCAGUAGUUCCAGCAGAUCCAUCAGAAGAGUAACCGCCAGCAGUAGGAGGUUGUGCGUAUCCUCCAUAAGACCCAUAUCCCUGAGGUGCUUGACCAUACCCAUAUGCCGGAGGCUGUCCAUAACCCGAUGCAGCUGGUUGUGCAUACCCAUAGCUUCCAGGAGCACCAGGAGACUGCUGGUUCUGAGCAUAAGCCGGUGGUUUCCCAGCCUGUGGUGGUGCUCCAUAUCCAGAACUGUACGCCGUUGGUGGCUGGCUGCUGUAACCAGCUUGAGAAGUCGGAGCAGCUCCAUACCCUGCUUGACCAGUGCUACCUUGAGUAGGCUCUUCACCAGUUGGAGCCGACGAUGCCGGAGCGGCUUGAGAUGUAUCUUCCUCUUGACCCGGGUUAGCGGUGCUGCCGUAACCACCCUGUUGCUGGUCAUACCCAGCUUGGCCAUAUCCUGAUUGCUGCGAGGCAGUAUAACCUCCAUACCCAUCUUGCUGGUAUCCCUGACCAGCUUGGCCAUAACCAGAAGCAUUCUGGUAGUAACUGUACGGAUCUGUUGGUGGAGCUGAGCUUCCACCACUGUUUGGUGCCUGUGACUGUUGCUGACCGUAAUAAUCAUAAUCACCUUGUUGAGGGUAGCCAGCUGAAGUUUGUUGAGGGUAACUUCCGUAAGGUGACUGACCAUACUGAGGUGGACCCGGAUAUGCUCCCUGUUGCAUGUAACCAUAACCAGCUUGUUGUGCUGGCGGACCACUAGGUGGUGCCCAGCUUGAUGGUGGGCGGGCUUGAUAACCCUGUUGUUGAUAGCCUCCACCCAUUGAUGAGUUUCUCAUACGGUUCUGCAUAAAAUAAUAAAAUGGAAUAAUCAUAUAUAACUUUAGGGAAGAAAAAAAAGAGAGGCAACAAUACAGCAUAAAAACACAUAAACACAAAUGCAGAGACAGAUAAACGGAUAAAAAUACAAGAUAAAGAGAGGACUACACAGUUGUCAUAUACCAAUAUCUGUACAUACAGGAUCAACCAAGAUCAUAUCAUACUCUAGAAGGGUAUGGUGAUGCCUACAUACCGUACUGAUUGGUGAAUUUAUUGGGUUUACUCCUGCAGAAGCCCAUCCCUUUCCCUAUCCGAGGUAAAAUAGGUGCAAGAGAAACCACAAAUACUAUACAAGCUUUUGCAGAUAAACGCAACAUAAGGCAAAAUUUGCAUAGCAAGAUAAUCUAACACAGACUAAAGAGUUUUGUUUCAACAAUAAAAUACUCAUGGGAACAUAUUAGCAGAGUCUAUGGGAUGGGUAUGAUCUCUCUGUAGUACAUUAUAGCUAGAUGGUUCUACUAAAAACAAAUCCAGGAAGAGUAGAGGCAAGCAGAAUACAAACAAUUCUAGGUUAGUAAAAUAUUUGACAAAAGAAAAUGGCUAAUAGGUCUUCAAAGGUUAGUCGCCCACCUUUGGUGAUAACCUGAUGACUGUAACAAGAAGUUACCGCUGAACGGAACUGAUAGUUGAUAAAAGGGAGUUGGCGCAGUGUAACAAAAAGAAUAUAACAUAUAUUAUACAAACCCAAAAUCCAAAAAAUUAUCAGAUAGAUAACUAUUUUAUAAAUACUAUCACAGCAGGUCAGACUGAAACUGUCCAGCAACCUCACAGUGUGUCUGCAUAUACUCCAUAACAUAGACAACAGAAUUCUCCGUUACGAAAAUAUCAUUUGAAAAGAGAAUGCAGAGAGUAUAAAUCUCUUAGAAACAAUGGAAUUUAGAAAGGACGAUGCUACGCAUAUUGUACAUUUGGAUUCUUAAAAUUUAAAUUGAAAAGUGUAUGCAAGAAAAGGGCGAUAAAAAAUUGUCAAAAGAAAGAUAGUAACAGUGGUAAGAAAUUAGUGAAGGAAGGUACUGGAAAACAAUGAACAGGGGAAGAAGCAACAUAUAAUCGCUUACAACUCCAGUAACAAGAUGAAUUAUCAUUUUGCAAGUCAAGAAAAUCACAAGAUUGUGAACGUUCCCCUGCAAAUAAGCGGAAGAGAAGAACUACGGACUUUAUAGUAGAUGCAGUUAUCAUGAAAUGGAGGCAUAAGAAGAAUAUGAGAACAACGAGUACUUUAGCUGUUGAUACAUUUACUACGUAACACUAGUCUAAACUAUAUCACCCAUCACCUAGAUUAAUAUCCCAUGCUUAACAUUUACGGAUUAAGGAAUAUGCUAGAUAAUCCUAAAACUGAUGACAAAUAAAUUAUGCAAGCACAACACAAUAUGUAGAAAAAUAGACACUGCAGAAGCCAGACACAGUCCAUAGCAAACAAAACAAUCAAACAUACCUCGCCACUGAGGAUUUCAUUAACUAAUUGUUUAGCAUGUUCAAUCUGAUCGGUGGUCCCAUCAAUCUGCAAAGUUCUUUCUGGAGUAGGGUCUCCAGGGGGCAAAUGCAAAGGAAUAACCUGCAAACAAUUAAAAACAGCUUUAAACAACACUUCACCUCCAGAAUACAACACAGAAGCUUGCUUAUAUGUGGCACUUUCACAAACCUGAAUACGAGCUCCAGUAUUAGCUUGCAUAGACUUGAUUGUCUCACCUCCUUUACCAAUCACCAAACCAACCUAGAGCAGUUCGUGGGGUUACAUAACAAGACACACCUCACAAUAAAAUAUCUCAAUCUCCAGAGCACUAACUACCUUGUUAUUAGGAAUCUUCAUAACAAACUGAUCAGCUCCCGGCUGUCCACCCAUCCUACGAGAGCCGCCUCCACCUGAACCUGCUCCGCCACCUGUCUCAGCCUGAAAAAAACAAAUUUAACCAUUAGUAAUCACUUUUCCAUCACAAUGAUAAACAAUUAGUAGUAGGCAUACAUCUUGAAGGACUUCAUUGAUCAACUCCUCAGCCCUAGAGAUCUGAUCCGGUGUGCCGGUAAGGUCAACGGUCCUGGUAGGAGCAUUAGGGUCAGCAUCCAUAUCUCUAGUAACCUGAAUCUUGGCUCCAGACUGAAGCUGAAGAGACUUGAUCGUCUCUCCGCCUUUACCAAUAAUAACUCCAACUCUCAUAUUCGGGAUAUCAAUCUUCUUCGUAGUCGCCGUGAAGCUACCGUACGAAACAGGUAUCGAAGACGUGUUCGACAUCUGCCUCCCCUCUGCAAACCAAAGAUCAGAUCACAAAAUCAAAUCCAAUUAGAGAGAGAGGGAUGAGAGGAAGAUUGAUUCAACGUACCAGAAGAGUACGAAGAGCUAAACCCCUUGUCGCCGCCGUAAUCGUAAGAAGAGGCGUUAUCGACGCGGGGACGCUUCGCGUCGGCGCUGUUGAGGAGACGAGCGGCGAUCUCUUGCGCCUUCUGUUUGGCGAUCUGGAUCUCGUCCAUAGGAGGAGGGACGCUGUUGUAGGAAGACGGCGGGGGGACGGCGGAGGGAUCGGGAGAGGCGGAUGGGAUCGGACCGGAGGAGAAGCCGGUGGGUCGACGAGUCGACGGAGGAGGAGGAGGAGGAGCGGUUUGCUCUUCGUAUUUGCGCUUGUUGGAGUAUUGAGAUUCGUCGGCCAUGGUUGACGAUAGAAACCCUAAGAGGCGGAGAUAAGGAGAAGAAAAGAGUGAGGUCUUAAAUAUACACACGCGUUUAUAUAUAUAGAGUAAAUUUCACGACGACAAACCAUGGCAAUAAGAGAUAGUAUAUUUUAAAUAAAUUAGCAUUAAAAUUUUAUUUUUAUAAGAUUUAAUCUUAGUUUUAUUAAAAUUUAAAUAAAAUAAAAUAGUUAAACCAAAUCAAAAGAAAGAAGACUACGAAAUAAUACGUUUAUGGUUUUAUUUUAUUCUAUACCAUGAAGUAAAAAUAUUCAAGUAAUAAUGUACAAACAUAAACUAUUUUUAAAUAAAAUAAUAUUAUAUUUAAAAUUAUUAUUUUGUACAUGGCAGAGGAAUAUUAUUUUACUGGAGUUUAUAUAUCUAAAAAUAGACAUAUUUAAAACUAGGUGAUAAAAAAAAUAUUUAAAAUAAAUGAUCAUUAAAUAUAAUAUAAUAUAAAUUAAAUUAACAAUUAGAGUUUAGGGUUUAGGGUUUAGAGUUGAGAAAUGAGGUUUUGGGAAUAAGAUUUCAAAUUUUGAAAAAUAAAAAAAAUUAAAAUUUUCAAAGGAUAAACUUAGAAAGGUGCUAUUUUGGCCAUUUUAGUUUUUGAGUGCUAUUUUUGUGAUAUAAACUUAGAAAGGUGUUAUUUUGGAGAUUUGACCUAUUUUUAACUUAAUUUAUAUAUUUAUUAUAAAACUAUAAAAAUGAAAUAUUAAUUAAUACUAUAAUAUAGUUAUUUUAUAAAUAUUCAUAUAUGUGCUUAACUUUUUAGAAUUUCCAGGUUAUAUUUGCUAAUGCAGCUCUAAUUCCACAUACACAUUUUCUUUUGUUUUCUAUUUUUCCCUAAAACAUAUGUAAAUUAUUAUAUAUUUACAACUCUUUUUUUUUUUUGUCACUGAUAUAUUUUACAACUGUAUAUUUACAACUCUAAAAGAAUGAAAAGUAUAACUAAAGAUAAAUCAAAUAUUUCAUUAUCAUAGUUUUUAUAAGUAUUUAUAAAACGGAAAAUCACCUAGUUUUACGGUUGAACCUGUAUGUACGUUUUGUGAAGCAGAUACUACUGCAAGAGAACAUAUUUGGUCUCGUCUUGCCUAGUGAAUUUGAUAAAACCACACAAACUCGCUCAGUGUAUUUUUGGAUACAAGGAAUAGUUUGUGUAAUCUAUAAGUAGACAGCGGACCCAAAGUAACAUAAACCAUUAUCUCAAACAUAAAAGGAAAGUUUAAACUAAAAACGUCAAGCACAAACAUUAAGAAAUCCUCUGAAAAACCAAAAAAAAAAAAGAGAGGAGGGAAGCAUGUAUUGUAUAACAGGUGGAAUCUAUCCAUAAACAUCAUCAACUCUUUGGGGAUGCCUUAGGCGGUCCAGCAGGUGGAGCAGUCUGCGAAGCCGGCGUACCACCACCACCACCAGGAGCAGUAGUUCCAGCAGAUCCAUCAGAAGAGUAACCGCCAGCAGCAGGAGGUUGUGCGUAUCCUCCAUAAGACCCAUAUCCCUGAGGUGCUUGACCAUACCCAUAUGCUGGAGGCUGUCCGUAACCCGAUGCAGCUGGUUGUGCAUACCCAUAGCUUCCAGGAGCACCAGGAGACUGCUGGUUCUGAGCAUAAGCCGGUGGUUUCCCAGCCGGUGGUGGU